GACCGAGCAACGCCGCGUGAGUGAAGAAGGUUUUCGGAUCGUAAAGCUCUGUUGUAAGAGAAGAACGAGUGUGAGAGUGGAAAGUUCACACUGUGACGGUAACUUACCAGAAAGGGACGGCUAACUACGUGCCAGCAGCCGCGGUAAUACGUAGGUCCCGAGCGUUAUCCGGAUUUAUUGGGCGUAAAGCGAGCGCAGGCGGUUAGAUAAGUCUGAAGUUAAAGGCUGUGGCUUAACCAUAGUACGCUUUGGAAACUGUUUAACUUGAGUGCAGAAGGGGAGAGUGGAAUUCCAUGUGUAGCGGUGAAAUGCGUAGAUAUAUGGAGGAACACCGGUGGCGAAAGCGGCUCUCUGGUCUGUAACUGACGCUGAGGCUCGAAAGCGUGGGGAGCAAACAGGAUUAGAUACCCUGGUAGUCCACGCCGUAAACGAUGAGUGCUAGGUGUUGGGUCCUUUCCGGGACUCAGUGCCGCAGCUAACGCAUUAAGCACUCCGCCUGGGGAGUACGACCGCAAGGUUGAAACUCAAAGGAAUUGACGGGGGCCCGCACAAGCGGUGGAGCAUGUGGUU
rnacentral:rRNA from 1 species